GUAACAAGGUUUCCGUAGGUGAACCUGCGGAAGGAUCAUUACUGAGUUUUAUGAAUGGGUUGUCGCUGGCCUUGUUGGGCAUGUGCACGCCUGUUUCAUCCACUCUUAACCUCUGUGCACUAUAUGUAAGAAUGGAUGGUAAAAGCCAGAAGUUCUUAUGUUUAUUACAAACGCUUCAGUAUAAGAAUGUUUACUGUGUAUAACACAAAUAUACAACUUUCAGCAACGGAUCUCUUGGCUCUCGCAUCGAUGAAGAACGCAGCGAAAUGCGAUAAGUAAUGUGAAUUGCAGAAUUCAGUGAAUCAUCGAAUCUUUGAACGCACCUUGCGCUCCUUGGUAUUCCGAGGAGCAUGCCUGUUUGAGUGUCGUGAAAUUCUCAACUCUAUAGAUUUUUUAGAAAUAGAAAGUCUAAUGGGUUUGGACUUGGAGGUUGUGUUGGCUCUAAGCAGCUAACUCCUCUCAAAUGCAUUAGCGUGAAUCUUACGGAUUGCCUUCAGUGUGAUAAUUAUCUGCGCUGUGGUGUUGAAGUAUAAUUAAUAGUUCAUGCUCUCUAAUCGUCUCUCCUGAGACAAUUGCUUUGACAAUCUGGCCUCAAAUCAGGUAG
rnacentral:rRNA from 1 species